GUUCGCGAUUCACCUCCAUCUACGGUGGCUGAAAUUCCGCGGCGUCGGACAACUCUGCGGUGGCGCGAGCUUUCUUCCUUAGAUUUGUUUCAGGAGAAGCCAAUGGCAUGAGACAUCACUGAUGCUGAAAUGCUAGUUUAACGUAUCGUUUGGGAUGUACUAAAUAAAUAGCAUAUAUAAAAGAGGUGGUCCUGAUAUUUGGGGAAGCUUAGAGAGCUAUAAAGAGCAAGCUUCGAGCGUUCCUGCAGUGAAGCUAUAAAGAGCCAGCUUCCAACAUUGUCAUAUAUUAGCUUUCUUGCGGCGUUCUAGGAUUUCUUUCUGUGCACUACUGCUGCUGCUGCUGCUUCUGAAUUCUCAUCCCCUGCGGACAGCCUUUUUCAUGGAGCAAAGUACUUUGUCAUUGUAAAAUUAACGUGGAGCUUGAAGAUUUCCUUGUGGAAAAAUGAAGGUGUCUAUGUUUAAACAAUGUGAUAGAAGCACAGAUUAUACCAAAGAACGGCAAAUUUACAUGAAAGCUAUAUUCACAUACGUAAAUAGACAGUGAGAGGAGAAAUGCUGGAAAAUCCAAAAUAAAGGAUGAAAUAUUAACACUAGCUAUAACAAGGAAGACAUGGCAUGAAUUGAAGACCCCAUGACGAAGAUGAUAUGAUCAAAGAAUUUCCUCUCAGGAGCUAAAGCACCUAGCCGGCGGAUAUACAAAGUUUUCCUUCAAAGAGGAUGGAAUAUUGUGAAAUAGGGUCAGCGGGAGCACUGAAUCUGUGCUAUUAAAACUGCCAUAUGAAGAUGGGAUUUCAAGACUUGUGGUCAAAGUGGAUAACAUUUAGCAUCUCCGACGUGGGCUAUUCAAUUCUGGUGAAUGGUGCACUUGUGGGAUUUUUUCUCAGAAGAGAGAUCUAAGCCAAGGAAACCCAGUGUCUCCAUUCUUGUUCAUCAUAGCAAUGGUAGGGCUAUGGAAACUUCUCAAGAAGGCACUGCAAAGAGACAGUGGGUAAGAGGGCAGUAUGCGCAAGGGAAAGGGAGGCGACCAGACAUGAAUCUCCUCAAAUUUUGUAGGCCUAUAAAAAUGACCUAAUAAACAAUAAUCAUCGAUUCGCCAUUACCGUUCGUUUUAUGCCAUCAAAUAGGAAUUUAGGAUGAUUCCUAGAUUUUCAUGAGCUAUAGUCCAUACCAUCCGCAUGAAUUCGGGCAAUCGACCCCGAAUCUUUUAAAAAUUUGCUAGCCUAUUAAAAACGAUCUAAUAAACAAUAGUCAUCGUUUUGCUAA